GAUGGAAGCAUGUUGGACUCUGUGGUGUAAACAUUUUUGGACUUACAGCCACAUGCUUAGGAUGCUUCUCCUGUAGCCAUGCAAUCAGGAUCUCUCUCAGCUGUGUGUUGAGCUAUAGCCAUGCACCUUCACCCUAGCCAUGGACCAAGACUUGGUGUGAGAACCAUAUGGAUAGGAAGAACUAACCUAGACCCAAGAUGCAAGUUCACGGAUUGCAAGACAGGAGGCCAAACGCUGAAACGGCAUCUGACAAAACGUCUCUCUGUCCAGUGA
rnacentral:lncRNA from 14 species